AACUGCAAAAUCUACUUGGUAUAUUCAUUCAUGCCCUCAUUUGGAGUAUUUUUUUGGAAGAUUUGUUUCUGAUUAUUGUGUAAUUUGACAGGUCCAUUUUUGAUCAUUUGAAAAGUCUGAUGAGGUGUACUCCCAACCCCAGUUUGUGUCCCCUAUGUUGUCCAUUUUCUGUUUCUAUUUGGAUCCCAAAACAAAGUUAUUAAAACUCGGACUAGGAUUGGAUUGCCUGAGUUGCAGCAGCUGUUUACAGUUUGAUUGUGAGAGAUUCUGCUCUUCCUUGUUCUUGUUUCUGUGAUUGGAAUCCAGGCAGGAAUUGACCAUUAUGCAUUGUACUCCAUCUUCUGUUCUUAUAUUCAAAAUAUUUUUGGAAACUUUUCUGAAUAUGAUUAACUUAAUAAAAGUUUUGUUAUUUCUUUCUCUUUAGUUCACAGAAGCAAAAUGUUAUUACAAUAAGCUUGUUAACAUUCGAAAGGAAAUGAUAACACUGCACGAAAAGACAACCAAACUAAAGAGACGAGCUUUAAAGCUUCAGCAACAGAGACGGAAAGAUGAGUUUGAGCAGGAACAACGGAGAGAAAAGGAACUUGAGCGGGAAAGACAACUCAUUGCUAAGCCAGCAAAGCUCUCUUAGUCCAAUCAUUGUCACAAGGCUUCACCUGGAGCACACAACAGGAAGCUCGCUACUUAUAUUGUCUUGUUCUUCUUCUACUGGCUUGGAAAUUAUGACAAAUAAAUAUUUUGUUUAUAUCUGUAUUGUGAUUAAUUCAAAAUACAGAUUGUAAAAUUUGAAUUCUGUUUCUGAAGCCUGGAGGUUUACAAUAAGAUAUAAUUGCAUCUCCUAACUAACCUUUUAAUAUAAUUUUGUUCUAACCUGCCUUCCUGUCCUGUGACAUGAAAUUGCGUUUUCAGAUUAUUUGAGCAUUAGUAAAGUCCUGUCACAUGACAUGAGAAAUGCAUUGCUGCAGGCUAUAUAUUUUCUUAAAAAGUGUGACCCCUGAAAUUACUGUUAUUGACAGAUGACUCUGACUGGAAAUCUUCCCGCACUUUCUAAGCGGAUGUGAGGCUACAGUUCUUGAAGGAACUGGACUUGGAAGCUUGGGCAAAUCUGCUGUUUUUGUGUGGACUGAAAGUUGCAAUUUUGUGGAUGAACUUAUUUGCAAUUUCUCAGGAUAUCAGUGUGGUCUUUCAGGAACUGCUGUGCAAGCUGAGUGUGUUUAAAAUAAAAAAAAAUGAUUUA